CUUCGUUUUGAUCAGUGACUCAAGAUGCACAGAAUAGCCAUGGAGGGUUAAACCUCGAAGACUAUUUGCUUCGAUUUCAAAAUCCCGUCCCUGCUUCGAUUGCGACGAAGAAGACAGUUAUUGACUACUAAGGUAUGGAGCCAGCUGGCUGAUGGCGCACGUGGGACUGGCCGGAGGUAGCAGCGGUGUUGGAAGCUGCUGGAAACCUGUUAGGCGCAAGGGAACCUUAGGGUUUCUGCUGAAAAUUUGGUUUAGUUUUGGGCCAUGGGGUGCUAGGCUAUUUGGGUUAAUUGGAUUAAUAAAUGUAAAUGGACUUGACUUUUAAAUUAUUUUGGUUUUAUUAUUUUUCUAUUUUGGUUUUGGUAUAGGCCCGGGCGAAAUGGGCCUAUUACACAGACCUCGGCCUUUUACUACUACUAGAAGUAGCUCAUUGUACGGAAGCUGAAGUAUGGCUCUCAGCUCCUUCGGACUCAUGCUGGGCUUGAUUGGAAGACAUUUACUAUAUUCAAAUACAAUUAAAAGGGUUAAGAAA